rnacentral:pre_miRNA from 1 species
GAUUUUAACUGAAAAAGUCAUCAAUAACAAAGUGGUAUAACUCAUCAAGACCUAUAACUUUUAUUUUGGUCAUUUCUUCAUCUGACAAAGUGAUUUGUAAGAUUGUUUACAAAAUGUACAUAUCUCUUAUAUAGUUUUAUAAACUAUAAGAGAGAUGAAAAUUUCGUGAAAAUGUUACUAUCACUUUGUCGGAUGAAGAAAUGACCAAAAUAUAAGUUAUAGAUCUUGAUGAGUUAUACAACUUUGUUGUUGAUGACUUUUUCAGCUGGAAUC